GCAGAGCACUCCUACGGGAGGCAGCAGUGGGGAAUAUUGCACAAUGGGGGAAACCCUGAUGCAGCCAUGCCGCGUGUGUGAAGAAGGCCUUCGGGUUGUAAAGCACUUUCAGUAGGGAGGAAGGUAGUGUAGUUAACACCUGCACUAUUUGACGUUACCUACAGAAGAAGCACCGGCUAACUCCGUGCCAGCAGCCGCGGUAAUACGGAGGGUGCGAGCGUUAAUCGGAAUUACUGGGCGUAAAGCGCAUGCAGGCGGCCUGUUAAGUCAGAUGUGAAAGCCCCGGGGCUUAACCUCGGAAUUGCAUUUGAAACUGGCAGGCUAGAGUCUUGUAGAGGGGGUAGAAUUUCAGGUGUAGCGGUGAAAUGCGUAGAGAUCUGAAGGAAUACCAGUGGCGAAGGCGGCCCCCUGGACAAAGACUGACGCUCAGAUGCGAAAGCGUGGGGAGCAAACAGGAUUAGAUACCCUGUAG
rnacentral:rRNA from 1 species